rnacentral:rRNA from 1 species
GUCUACGAGAGUAGUUGUACGUACUGGCUCAAGGACGAACGCUGGCGGCGUGCUUCAUACAUGCAAGUCGAACGAGAAACUGACUUCGGUUAGUGGAAAGUGGCGGACGGGUGAGUAAUGUGUAGAGAAUCUGCCCUUAAGAUGGGGACAACAGUUGGAAACGACUGCUAAUACCCAAUAUGAGCGUACCUGCGAUGGUAUUCUUGAAAACUCCGGUGCUUAAGGAUGAGUCUGCAUCUGAUUAGCUAGUUGGCGGUGUAAUGGACCACCAAGGCGACGAUCAGUAGCUGGUUUGAGAGGAUGAUCAGCCACAAUGGGACUGAGACACGGCCCAUACUCCUACGGGAGGCAGCAGUAGGGAAUUUUGCGCAAUGGGGGAAACCCUGACGCAGCCAACGCCGCGUGAUUGAAUAAGCCCUUCGGGGUGUAAAGAUCUGUCAGUGGGGACGAAACUUGACGGUACCCACAGAGGAAGCAUCGGCUAACUCCGUGCCAGCAGCUGC